GUGAGGAAUAUUGGACAAUGGGCGCAAGCCUGAUCCAGCCAUGCCGCGUGCAGGAAGACGCAUCUAUGGUGUGUAAACUGCUUUUGUACGGGAAGAAACACUCCCUCGUGAGGGAGCUUGACGGUACCGUAAGAAUAAGGAUCGGCUAACUCCGUGCCAGCAGCCGCGGUAAUACGGAGGAUCCAAGCGUUAUCCGGAAUCAUUGGGUUUAAAGGGUCCGUAGGCGGUUUAAUAAGUCAGUGGUGAAAGCCCAUCGCUCAACGAUGGAACGGCCAUUGAUACUGUUAGACUUGAAUUACAAGGAAGUAACUAGAAUAUGUAGUGUAGCGGUGAAAUGAUUAGAUAUUACAUGGAAUACCAAUUGCGAAGGCAGGUUACUACUUGUGGAUUGACGCUGAUGGACGAAAGCGUGGGGAGCGAACAGGAUUAGAUACCCCAGUAGUCC
rnacentral:rRNA from 1 species